CUAGCCGUAAACGAUGGAUACUAGGCGUUGUGAGUAUCGACCCUCACAGUGUCGUAGCUAACGCGUUAAGUAUCCCGCCUGGGGAGUACGCGCGCAAGCGUGAAACUCAAAGGAAUUGACGGGGGCCCGCACAAGCGGUGGAGUAUGUGGUUUAAUUCGAUGCAACGCGAAGAACCUUACCAGGACUUGACAUGUCGCGAAUCUCAGGGAAACUUGAGAGUGCCUUCGGGAGCGCGAACACAGGUGGUGC
rnacentral:rRNA from 1 species